rnacentral:rRNA from 1 species
UAGGGAAUCUUCGGCAAUGGACGAAAGUCUGACCGAGCAACGCCGCGUGAGUGAAGAAGGUUUUCGGAUCGUAAAACUCUGUUGUUAGAGAAGAACAAGGACGUUAGUAACUGAACGUCCCCUGACGGUAUCUAACCAGAAAGCCACGGCUAACUACGUGCCAGUAGCCGCGGUAAUACGUAGGUGGCAAGCGUUGUCCGGAUUUAUUGGGCGUAAAGUGAGCGCAGGCGGUUUCUUAAGUCUGAUGUGAAAGCCCCCGGCUCAACCGGGGAGGGUCAUUGGAAACUGGGAGACUUGAGUGCAGAAGAGGAGAGUGGAAUUCCAUGUGUAGCGGUGAAAUGCGUAGAUAUAUGGAGGAACACCAGUGGCGAAGGCGGCUCUCUGGUCUGUAACUGACGCUGAGGCUCGAAAGCGUGGGGAGCAAACAGG